UGAACUUCCUCAUUCUGGAAUUUGGAUAUUUUCAGAAGUACGCUUCGUAUUGAAUCUCGGAAGUUCGUAUCGUACGACGGAAAAUAUGAAAUUUAUCGUAACUGCAAUAUUCAUGCGCGAUAAUAAAGGGCCAUGCAGUCAGGACAAUAAAAACUGUGACUUGGCAGGUGUGAAUUGUGAAAUUUUACGAAAUAUCUGCGACUCGAAUAAAUGCUUGACAACAGUAACAUCGUAUCGCUCGAGCCAUUGAUAAUUUAACCCGGUUAUUGAACGCGAGCCCACUACGAAAAUUACACACCCAUGUAGAUCGAAAGCUCUGGACGUUGGUGAGAAAUUGGUGAGCGGGUACAAUGGAGCGAAAGGAAUAUGCCGAGGAAUAUGCUUUUGAUGAAACAUAUAUAGGAAGACGUUAAAUCAGAUGGGAAGAUUCUCACUGUGGAUAAUUGCUGAGUUAGCGAUUGCAUAAAUUUGUUUGAUAACAUAACGUCAAGUUCGUCGUGAAUAACGUGAAAAAGUAAUUAUAAUGACGCUGUAGUUUGCAACGUUGGAGUCCAACGAAAUGAUUUUAAAAAACUCUUCAAUAAUUCCUGUAAUUCUUCAAUUUUGUUUCCUGUCGAAUUUGUAAUUCGUAGUUUUUUCAACCUGCACCGAUAUUUCGUGAAAUAAAAAAUUGGUUUUUUCGUUCAUUUCGUUGGACUGCAACGUUGCAAACUUCAGAAUCGUUUAUUAUUUGGCUUUACAUGUAGCUCACGAAAUAAAAAGUCGUUAAUACUU